AGAGUUUCAUUCUGGCUCAGGAUGAACGCUAGCUACAGGCUUAACACCUGCAAGUCGAGGGGCAUCAGGAAGAAAGCUUGCUUUCUUUGCUGGCGACCGGCGCACGGGUGAGUAACACGUAUCCAACCUGCCCUUUACUCGGGGAUAGCCUUUCGAAAGAAAGAUGGAUACCCGAUAGCAUAAUGAUUCCGCAUGGUUUCAUUAUUAAAGGAUUCCGGUAAAGGAUGGGGAUGCGUUCCAUUAGGUUGUUGGUGAGGUAACGGCCCACCAAGCCUUCGAUGGAUAGGGGUUCUGAGAGGAAGGUCCCCCACAUUGGAACUGAGACACGGUCCAAACUCCUACGGGAGGCAGCAGUGAGGAAUAUUGGUCAAUGGGCGUUAGCCUGAACCAGCCAAGUAGCGUGAAGGAUGAAGGCUCUAUGGGUCGUAAACUUCUUUUAUAUAAGAAUAAAGUGCAGUAUGUAUACUGUUUUGUAUGUAUUAUAUGAAUAAGGAUCGGCUAACUCCGUGCCAGCAGCCGCGGUAAUACGGAGGAUCCGAGCGUUAUCCGGAUUUAUUGGGUUUAAAGGGAGCGUAGGUGGACUGGUAAGUCAGUUGUGAAAGUUUGCGGCUCAACCGUAAAAUUGCAGUUGAUACUGUCAGUCUUGAGUACAGUAGAGGUGGGCGGAAUUCGUGGUGUAGCGGUGAAAUGCUUAGAUAUCACGAAGAACUCCGAUUGCGAAGGCAGCUCACUGGACUGCAACUGACACUGAUGCUCGAAAGUGUGGGUAUCAAACAGGAUUAGAUACCCUGGUAGUCCACACAGUAAACGAUGAAUACUCGCUGUUUGCGAUAUACAGUAAGCGGCCAAGCGAAAGCAUUAAGUAUUCCACCUGGGGAGUACGCCGGCAACGGUGAAACUCAAAGGAAUUGACGGGGGCCCGCACAAGCGGAGGAACAUGUGGUUUAAUUCGAUGAUACGCGGGGAACCUUACCCGGGCUUAAAUUGCAGUGGAAUGAUGUGGAAACAUGUCAGUGAGCAAUCACCACUGUGAAGGUGCUGCAUGGUUGUCGUCAGCUCGUGCCGUGAGGUGUCGGCUUAAGUGCCAUAACGAGCGCAACCCUUAUCUUUAGUUACUAACAGGUUAUGCUGAGGACUCUGGAGAGACUGCCGUCGUAAGAUGUGAGGAAGGUGGGGAUGACGUCAAAUCAGCACGGCCCUUACGUCCGGGGCUACACACGUGUUACAAUGGGGGGUACAGAAGGCAGCUAGCGGGUGACCGUAUGCUAAUCCCAAAAGCCUCUCUCAGUUCGGAUCGAAGUCUGCAACCCGACUUCGUGAAGCUGGAUUCGCUAGUAAUCGCGCAUCAGCCACGGCGCGGUGAAUACGUUCCCGGGCCUUGUACACACCGCCCGUCAAGCCAUGGGAGCCGGGGGUACCUGAAGUACGUAACCGCAAGGAUCGUCCUAGGGUAAAACUGGUGACUGGGGCUAAGUCGUAACAAGGUAGCCGUAAGGGCGAAUUGGGUCUCUCGAGGGGGACUAGUCCCGUUAGUGAGGGUUAUUCUGANCUUNGUCCAGUCUGAGUGAUGGCGGCC
rnacentral:rRNA from 1 species